rnacentral:tRNA from 1 species
GUGGGUGUAGCUCAGCUGGUAGAGCGUCCGGUUGUGGUCCGGGAUGUCGCGGGUUCAAGUCCCGUCACUCACCCCA